rnacentral:sRNA from 1 species
AAAAUCCUUGUAAAUUUGAUUAUAAAAAAAAUUACUUGCUAGAUGGCAAUACAAUCUGCGGAACUGAGAGAUUUCAUAACCCAAAAAAAAAGGAAAUUGCAUAAUUUAAAAUUCACCAUUAUCAGUUUUGAGCAAACAAAACAGAAGUUAGAAAAGAGAUUGACGAAUCGGGACAUCAGUUUUAAAAAGCUCGAUUUAUAUAAUCCGCAUGAGUUAUAGGAAA